GUGGGGCCGCUUGCAUGAGAUAGUGACAAAAUCUCUAGAGCACUCAUGAAUAUCAAGCACGUGCAUGACCUAUUAACGCAAAACAAUGAUAAUGACAAGAUUUGUGAUAGUGUAAUGUGAUUAGUAGAUCACUAACAUACAUUAAAUAUUUUUUGGUUCAUAUAGCUUGUUACACCAACUAUGUUGCGUGUUAAGUCAUGUCAAUC
rnacentral:lncRNA from 1 species